rnacentral:rRNA from 1 species
GUGACCGAUAGCGUAUAGUACCGUGAGGGAAAGGUGAAAAGAACCCCGGGAGGGGAGUGAAAGAGAACCUGAAACCCUAUGUUUACAAGCAGAGGGAGCGAAAGCGACCUCGUACUUUUUGUAGAACGGGCCGGCGAGUUACUGUGUGCAGCGAGGUUAAGGCGUAGAGCGCCGGAGCCGAAGCGAGAGCGAGUCUGAAGAGGGCGAAAGUUGUGCGCAGUAGACCCGAAACCGGGUGACCUAUCCAUGGACAGGAUGAAGCGGCGGUAAGACGCCGUGGAGGUCCGAACCACACGUAUGUUGAAAAAUGCGGGGAUGAGCUGUGGAUAGCGGAGAAAUUCCAAUCGAACUCGGAGAUAGCUGGUUCUCCCCGAAAUAGCUUUAGGGCUAGCCUCGAUUUAGAUUACCGGGGGUAGAGCACUGAAUGGGCUAGGGGGCCACAAAGCUUACCGAACCCUAUCAAACUUCGAAUACCGGAUAAUUGAUGAACGGGAGUCAGACGGCGGGAGAUAAGUUUCGUCGUCAAAAGGGAAACAGCCCAGAUCUACGACUAAGGUCCCGAAAUCACAGUUAAGUGGAAAAGGAUGUGCAGUUGCACAGACAACCAGGAUGUUGGCUUAGAAGCAGCCACUCAUUUAAAGAGUGCGUAAUAGCUCACUGGUCGAGUGAUUGUGCGCCGAAAAUGUACCGGGGCUAAACUGUGUACCGAAGUCUAGGGAUCGUGAUAAACGAUCGGUAGGGGAGCAACGUGUGCGGGCUGAAGCCGAAGCGGAAGCGACGGUGGACUGCACGGGAGAGAGAAUGCCGGCAUGAGUAGCGAGAGCAAAGUGAGAAUCUUUGCCGUCGAAAGCCUAAGGUUUCCUGAGGAAGGCUCGUCCUCUCAGGGUAAGUCGGGACCUAAGCCGAGGACAAUAGUCGUAGGCGAUGGACAAUCGGUUAAUAUUCCGAUACCGCCGAGCAACCGGAUGCAGUGACACAGAAGGAUAGGCAGAGCGUGGCGAUGGUAGACCACGUCCAAGCAGUGAGGCUGUUGUGUAGUGAAGUACGCACAACGGAAGGCUGGGCUGUGAUGGGGAACGAUUACGAUCGGUAAGCUGCUGAAUUCACGCUGGCGAGAAAAGCUGCUACGAAGCGAAGGCGCCCGUACCGCAAACCGACACAGGUAGGCGAGGAGAGAAUCCUAAGACGAGCGGGAGAACCCUUGUUAAGGAACUCGGCAAAAUGACUCCGUAACUUAGGGAGAAGGAGUGCCCAGGAAUGGGCCGCAGAGAAUAGACCCAAGCGACUGUUUACCAAAAACACAGGUCUGUGCGAAGUAGAGAUACGACGUAUACGGGCUGACACCUGCCCAGUGCCGGAAGGUUAAGGGGAAAUGUUAGGGCAACCGAAGCAUGGAACUUAAGCCCCGGUGAACGGCGGCCGUAACUAUAACGGUCCUAAGGUAGCGAAAUUCCUUGUCGGGUAAGUUCCGACCCGCACGAAUGGCGUAACGACUUGGGCACUGUCUCAACAAGGGACCCGGCGAAAUUGUAGUAUGUGUGAAGAUGCACAUUACCCGCGAUAGGACGGAAAGACCCCGUAGAGCUUUACUGUAGUUUAACAUUGGAUUUCGGUAACAUAUGUACAGGAUAGGUGGGAGGCGAAGAACCAGGGACGCCAGUUUCUGGGGAGCCGACCUUGGGAUACCACUCUUGUGUUAUUGGAGUUCUAACGAAUUGCCGUGAACCGGGAUUCGGACAGUGUUAGAUGGGCAGUUUGACUGGGGCGGUCGCCUCCCAAAGAGUAACGGAGGCGUCCAAAGGUUCCCUCAGAAUGGUUGGAAACCAUUCGCAGAGUGUAAAGGCAGAAGGGAGCUUGACUGCGAGACCGACAGGUCGAGCAGGUGCGAAAGCAGGGCUUAGUGAUCCGGCGGUAUGAGAGUGGAAUUGCCGUCGCUCAACGGAUAAAAGCUACCUCGGGGAUAACAGGCUU